ACGAACGCUGGCGGCGUGCCUAACACAUGCAAGUCGAGCGGAGAACUUCGGUUCUCAGCGGCGGACGGGUGAGUAAACACGUGGGGUAACCUGCCUUGUAGAGGGGGAUAGCCUUCCGAAAGGAAGAUUAAAUACCGCAUAACAUUAUUUUAUCGCAUGAUAGAAUAAUCAAAAGGAGCAAUCCGCUACAAGAUGGACCUCGACGGCGCAUUAAGCUAGUUGGUGAGGUAACGGCUCACCAAGGCGACGAUGCGUAGCCGGCCUGAGAGGGUGAACGGCCACAUUGGAACUGAGACACGGUCCAGACUCCUACGGGAGGCAGCAGUGGGGAAUAUUGCACAAUGGGCGAAAGCCUGAUGCAGCAACGCCGCGUGAGUGAUGAAGGCCUUCGGGUUGUAAAGCUCUGUCUCUGGGACGAUAAGACGGUACCAGAGGAGGAAGCCACGGCUAACUACGUGCCAGCAGCCGCGGUAAUACGUAGGUGGCAAGCGUUGUCCGGAUUUACUGGGCGUAAAGGAUGCGUAGGCGGAUAUUUAAGUCAGAUGUGAAAUUCCCGAGCUUAACUUGGGAGCUUGCAUUUGAAACUGGGUUAUCUAGAGUGUGGGAGAGGCAAGUGGGAUUCCUAGUGCUAGCGGUGAAAUGCGUAGAGAUUAGGAAAGAAACCCCAGUGGCGAAGGCGACUUUCUGGACCAUAACUGACGCUGAGGCAUGAAAGCGUGGGGAGCAAACAGGAUUAGAUACCCUGGUAGUCCACGCCGUAAACGAUGAAUACUAGGUGUGGGAGUUGUCAUGACUUCCGUGCCGCAGUUAACACAAUAAGUAUUCCGCCUGGGAGUACGGUCGCAAGAUUAAAACUCAAAGGAAUUGACGGGGGCCACGCCACAAGCAGGCGGGAGCAUGUGGUUUAAUUCGAAGCAACGCGAAGAACCUUACCUAGACUUUGACAUCUCCUGAAUUACUCGUAACUGAGGAAGCCCUUCGGGGCAGGAAGACAGGUGGUGCAUGGUUGUCGUCAGCUCGUGGUCGUGAGAUGUUGGGUUAAGUCCCGCAACGAAGCGCAACCCUUGUCGUUAGUUGCUACCAUUAAGUUGAGCACUCUAGCGAGACUGCCGCGGUUAACGCGGAGGAAGGUGGGGAUGACGUCAAAUCAUCAUGCCCCUUAUGUCUAGGGCUACACACGUGCUACAAUGGGGAGUACAAUGAGAUGCAAUACCGCGAGGUGGAGCAAAACAUAUAAAACUUCCCCCAGUUCGGAUUGCAGGCUGAAACUCGCCUGCAUGAAGCCGGAGUUGCUAGUAAUCGCGAAUCAGAAUGUCGCGGUGAAUACGUUCCCGGGGCCUUGUACACACCGCCCGUCACACCCAUGAGAGUUGGCAAUACCCGAAAGUCCGUGAGGUAACCGUAAGGGGCCAGCGGCCGAAGGUAGGGUCAGCGAUGGCGGUG
rnacentral:rRNA from 1 species